GGGCAGCAGGACUCUGGGUAUCCCUCAGAGGUGAGGAAUCACUUCAGGUGCUCAAAGGAAAAUUGCCUUUUCCUGUGGUUCCUUUGUCAAAGCUGGGACGCAGCUGAGCAGAGACAGCAGCUGUCCCUGGGAGGUGACAGCCAGGAGCCUUUGCAGCUCCUUGAGUGGCCAGAUGUCUUCUCUGGGCUCUCCUUUCCCUUUCCACUCCCUGACUUCUCUCUUCCUCCCUACCCUCAGUUAGACUUCUAUCUCCCUCUUGGUUCUCUGCCUGUUUUUGUGACUGUGUCCUCGUUCCAAGUGCCUCUCCCUGUUCCCUCUGCUCCCUGCACAGGCACAGGCAGCCACCGUGGCUGGAGCUGCUGCUCCCCAGCCUGGAGAAGACCUGCCCUGUGCUCCAUCACUCUUGGCCUGUUGCCAGGCAACGCAGCAUCACAUGGAUUUCACUCCCAAGCUCCCAAACAAACUGCAGACAUAGGGGGUUUUUCUCCUGCUCUUCCAGAGAAGGACCUCACCUGCCUCUCUGGCAGGUCUGAGGGGUCUCCAGUGGUCACUGGCUUUGCUGCAGCUCCUCACUUUGCCUCCCUAUCUGCCAGUUUGGCACCUGGGAAGUCACACACUGAGUUUUCUUGGAAGGCAGUGGCUCCCUCUGGCCACAGCCCCACUUGGAGUGGUGGGAAACCCUGGUGGUGGAUGCUGCAGGGUUCUUGGUGGCACCUGCUCCGGGAACACAUUGUCCCUGCAGCCAGCAGGGACCAGCAGCUGGGGUUCUCAGCUCCUCAUUCCUCCUGGGUGCUGCUGCUGAGCCCUACAACAGGAGAGCUGCGGGGCCAGAGGGAGGAAAAGGAGAUAAAACCAUCCACACCUCCAUGUGGUAGUCAGGAGCAGAUUUUUUUACCUAGAUCCUUGUCAUCCAUCCCACUGCUGCUUCCAGAUGUUUCUGUUGUAGCUCUGUGACUCAGACCAGGAGCUUUGACUCAGAAGGGGCCUCCUCUGCUGGCACAGGUGGGAAGGAACAUCCCCAGGAGCAAGAAGUGCAGCACCCUCUGAAAUGGGAAGGCCUAAUGUGGGACAUGGGCCCAGCCCUCAGUAUCAGAACAGAUCCCAUCACUAACAAUAACGAGCAGGAAGGUGUUUUUUGAUGCUUCUUAACUGUCUGCAGGGGCUGAAGGACUUUUCCUUGCCUUGUGCCCUUCACCCUGCCAGUCAGGAAUGCCAGUUCCAAGGGGCAUCGCUGCUCCUCCUGAGCACCAUCAUGGAAAUGCAAAGAUAAAAUCAACCAGGGCAGAUACAGACAGAUACAGAUUCACAGCUUUGGGGCUCUGCAUCCCUCAACAGGCACACAGGGAUGGAUUCACACCUCCCCUG
rnacentral:lncRNA from 1 species